UAAUAUGACUGAAACAUUCGACAUUUCCACGGUGUUACUAAAAGUGGCCUAGAGCAAACACACUAUCGUCUGAAACACGCUGUGAAGAACAGCGCUUUCACACUGCUGUCCUGUGCUGAGUGCCUAGAACGAGCUUGGUGAGUCGAGUCUGAACCAACUGGUAAGUGCUCCCACAUGUGACCACCAUAGACUUCAUUCAGACAGUUUAUACUGUACUUUCGAUACGACAAAGUUAAUAGGUGUUAAUGUAGGUGAGGAAUCACCUGGGGGCUUGCGCAGAAUUCUGACAUUAUUUUUGAAUUCCGGGUCUGAUGCUUUACUUCUAAAAUGGAUUACUAAAUCAGUUUCUAAGUAACAGCAAUGUAACAGACCCUAUUCACUCACUUGCAAAGGGAAUUUUCAAUACAAAUAAAGUCAUGCAUAUUUAUACUAGGGUAAUUCAAAAUAACUUCCUCACAUAAGCACAGCUACAUUCAAGUAAAAUCUUGCCAGCAUUUCUGAGUACAUUGCUUUAAGGAAAAAAAAAAAAAGAAAAAAGAAAAAAGAAAAAAAAACCCGUGUAGCGUCCGAACUAUUUAAACAUCUUGCCAGCUUCCUUAACAUGCCCCAGCUAUCUUUCUUUAAAUCACUGACAAGGAUUUAAAAACUGCUUCAUCAGAACAACUGUUACCCUUUUUCCUACUCCCGUUAGAACCUGAUCUUUUAAAGGGACCAUAUUUACAGCUUCUUUUGAAAUCUUGAAACCAUUUGGCUGAUACAUUUUUUGCUACAUUUUCUUUUCCUGAUUUAAUUACUGGAGAUAUUUGCAUGAAAACAGGAGGACGGGGACAUAGAAUUUUUUUUUUUUUUUUUUUUUUUUGCCUUAUGAGCUCAUGAGUUUUGGAUGCCUAGUCCCCGAGAACAGUGCCUGUUUUAUUACAAUUAGGAAGCCAAGAGCUACUUGAAAUUGUACAACCGUGGUUCUCAAUGUCCCUAAUGCUGCUGCGACCCUUUAAUACAGUUCUUCGUGUUGUGGUGACCCCCAACUAUAAAACUGUUUUCAUUGCUUAUUUCAUAACUGUAAUUCUGCUGCUGUUAUGAAUCAUAAUGUAAAUAUCUGUGUUUACCAAUGGUCUUAGGCAACUCCCAUGACCCACAAGCUGAGAAUCAAUGUUGGAAAAGAAUUAGUUGAAAGUGAGUAGAGUUCAGAAACAGGCACUCAGGAAAUUAAGGAAUCCAUGAACCAAACAACAGUGACUUUUCUUCCAGGCCACUUUAAAGCAGUAUAUAUAUUAACUCACACUGUUGCUACCGAAAGGGUCAGAACACUAAGAUCUAGGCAGAGCUUGUGAGUCAAAGCUUCCCAAGAAAACCACAUUCGGGCAGUGACCUCGGGUCCUGUGGGUGUUGAUGUGUCAGCACGAAUCUCAGAAAACAACCAAGAAGGCAAUUCCAGACCAAGUAUGAACUCUCGAGAUGGCCACUGACCAUUAAGGAGAAAGACAUAGAUCUCUCCCAUCCCUCCAAUUCUACCUACCUGGCAAGUGUUCGUUAUCUUUCAAUAUCAGGUCAGAGAAGACCAAUCAGGAUGAGCUCUGAGCAUCUGAGAGAUGCAGUGGUUUCCAUCUCAGUGAUGGAGUCGCUGUCUUCUCAGCUGCGUAUUCUGCACUGCAUUUUCUAUACUUCGCGAACGGUUCCACCGAACCCCCCUCUUGGUUUGUAUGUUUUUUCACCUGCACCCUCACCUUGCUUCUGAUUCUCCUGCCUCUGCCUCUUCAGCAUAUUCUACCUGUGUGCAUCAGUACAACUGGCCUUGCUUGGUUUUCUUAAAUUGCAUUUAUUUAGUGUAUGCACAAAUGCGUGUGCAUGGCAGAGUGGUGUGUGUGUGUGUGUGUGUGUGUGUGUGUGUGUGUGUGUGUGUGUGGGUGUGUAAGUCAGAAAACAGCUUACAGGAAUUCUCUCCUUCCCUCAUGUGAGUUCCAGGAACUAACCUCAGGUCAUCAGGCUUGGUAGUAAGUUUAGACAUACAGUUGUAAAAUUAUUCAAAUAAAAUGCUAGCACAUUAAAAACAAUCUGAAACGUUUUUCCCCCACAUUUUCCUCUAAUCCCCACAAUAAACUUUUAAGGUUAACAAAUGAUCUUAUGCACGGUCUUUCUCUUCCUUCCCGCAAUGCUAGCGCGGAGCUCGGACGUCACAGCCCUUGGUGGGCUUUGCUGUUACCGCAGUUACAUCUUCAGCACCACGCCUGGGUGUGAAAGAAGGAAACCAAGGUUUCCAUGGAAGAGAGACUAAAUAAUCAGAUCUCUUUGGAACCCUCAGACUUCCCUAGGGCUAGUAGAAAGAAGUAUUUGUAUCAUGAAAGGUGCCGGGACUCAAGGUGUGCACCCCCUCACCCAGCUCGAAGUCUGGAUCUUAAUCCUUCCCCAUAG
rnacentral:sRNA from 1 species